UGCUUAACACAUGCAAGUCGAACGCAACCUUCGGGUUGAGUGGCGGACGGGUGAGUAACGCGUGAGAAUCUGCCUUGGGGUCGGGGACAACCACUGGAAACGGUGGCUAAUACCGGAUAAGCCUUUGGGUAAAAAAUUUAUUGCCCCAAGAGGAGCUCGCGUCUGAUUAGCUAGUUGGUGAGGUAAGAGCUCACCAAGGCAGCGAUCAGUAGCUGGUCUGAGAGGACGAUCAGCCACACUGGGACUGAGACACGGCCCAGACUCCUACGGGAGGCAGCAGUGGGGAAUUUUCCGCAAUGGGCGAAAGCCUGACGGAGCAAGACCGCGUGAGGGAGGAAGGCUCUUGGGUUGUAAACCUCUUUUCUCAGGGAAGAAGCUCUGACGGUACCUGAGGAAUCAGCCUCGGCUAACUCCGUGCCAGCAGCCGCGGUAAUACGGAGGAGGCAAGCGUUAUCCGGAAUUAUUGGGCGUAAAGCGUCCGCAGGUGGCGAUUCAAGUCUGCUGUCAAAGCACGGGGCUUAACUCCGUUAAGGCAGUGGAAACUGAAUAGCUAGAGUGCCGUAGGGGUAGAGGGAAUUCCCGGUGUAGCGGUGAAAUGCGUAGAGAUCGGGAAGAACAUCGGUGGCGAAAGCGCUCUACCUGGACGGCAACUUGACACUUCAGGGACGAAAGCUAGGGGAGCGAAUGGGAUUAGAUACCCCAGUAGUCCUAGCUGUAACCGAUGGAUACUAGGUGUAGCUUGUAUCGACC
rnacentral:rRNA from 1 species